UCUUAUGCUGCACUGGCAAAUUUAAGUUGCAGUUGAGAAAACCUGAUAAACAGCAUUUGGAACACACAAGUAGUCAGGAUCAUGAUUCCACUGCGAGACAUAACCUAAGUUUCACAGAUGGGAAAAUUAAGGCACUAACGCUCAGGCUGAUUUCACUGAGCUACAGAAGCCUCGGUGGUUCAACAGGCUAAAGAAGAAAAAUUCCUAGAAAAUGUCUGCCUACUACUGAAGGAGGAAAAAGAAAAACCCCACUUGUGGGCAAUCCAAAGAGCAAGACAGUAUUGUGAAGUGCUGCAGAGUCUUUAAAGGGCAGUCGAAGAUUCAGAGCAAGAGCUUUGAGCCUGGUGCACACAGCUACUGAAACACAGAACGGAAGGGGAAACAGUCCUGGCUUGCUCAAACCUGCAGCACUACAAAGCUGGCUGGAAGCAUUAGUAAGUUUUGAUGUUUUGGGAUGCUUUUCUGUUAUUUUGGUUUUCUGUCUUUAAGUAUCAAAUACUACCUACACCCGCAGGCUAUGCUCAGCUUGAAUGCAA